CUUCCACCCUGAAUGCACCCGAUCUCGUCUGAUCUCAGAAGCUAAGCAGGGUCAGGCCUGGUUAGUACCUGGAUGGGAAACCUGUAUUUCUAUAUGCAGGAAAAAAAGG
rnacentral:rRNA from 1 species